CAGCGAAAAUGUUUAACCUUUCGUAUAAUAUUUAUUUACAGUGACUUUUAGAAUUUUUAUAUGCGUACCAGAAAAACAAAAAUGUAUAAGAGGUAAUCAUCGUUAUCCACGCAUCGAUUUCAAUAAAAAUCUAAUCGGAUCUUGGGAAGGAAAAUACGAAAUGUAUAGAUAAAAAUUUGCUUAGAUGCAAUCGUCAACGUGUACACAGCCAUUGAACGAAGUUUUUCAAGUUGGAUUAAUAAUUUUCACUGGAUAUACGAAAACUAAAUAUUCUUAUUAAAUAACUUUUUUCUAUACCAUAAAGUCUUGCUUUCGCGAUAGAAAAAGGUUGCAUAAAAUGUUACAGAGCGAGAUGUAAUGGUUCGGAUCGUUUCGCAAGAUAAUAGGAACGAGUAAACAAUUCUAAGGACAAAAUAAAUUGUAAUUACUUAUUAUUUCUCUAUGUUUCCUUUGCUUUCAAUGGAAUCGACCCUGACAACCGAAUUGCGUAAGUCGGGCCAAACAAUUCGUGCUGUAACUUACGAUUUCUAAUAAUUACACCUCGAGAAACAGAGACGAUCGAGGAUAAUAUUUUGUAUAAGGGGAAUAUUUGUUUCCUUUUUAAACGGUGUCAGUUCGAAUCGAUUUGAACGAGUUUGCAAGCACUGAUUAGGCCCUCUUGUUUAUGUGUACCUUUGCCUCUUUCAGAUAACCGGCUGCAUUACUAUAUUCCUUGCAUUCCCGCGUUACAGGAAUGCAGAGAAUGCGGACGAGCAAUUUGUUUGUUUCGCAUCUCUAGGACAUCGCGGGAAAUCUGACAUUGAGGAUCUGUUCGCGUCAUGUCUCGGAAUUUAAAGCGAUUCGUCACGUAGAUCAUAGGCGCCAGACCAAGGAAAACUUAGGAGCCUAAGCAGAGAGCGAUGGUCUGAAGCAACUAAAAGAAAGUGACGCGGUAACACAUAUGUCACCGAAGAAGUUUAUGAAGCAGCGGCGUCAAAUCUGGAGAACGAGGCGACCAUGAAAUUCGUCCUCCACGGCCAAUCGAUUAUGAAAUUGCCUGUGUAAUGCCUAACGUGCUUGCUGUGCAUGAUGUGUAGGACAGCAGACAUGUUUAUAUCACAUCGUUCCGCAGAUUUGGUAAGAUACAUUUAUUAACGACGCGACAAAGUAUAGUUGAUCUAUUUUAAUAUUAUUGUACCGAUUCCUGUUUCGAGUGAAUUGCAUAUGGGCUAAACGGAUAGUUAUUGUCUACGCUGAUAGAGUAUCUGGAUAUUCACACAAUUUGAAUAAAUUGAUAGAGAGAACUGCGUCAUAUUAUUAACAAUUUUAUCCGAUAUUUAAAUACGCAGCCAUUAGCUCGGUGUUACCCAUGAUAGAAAAGCUUUUUUAUCGUGGGUAACACCGAUUACCAGGUCUCACCACGAGGAGGUUGC